rnacentral:rRNA from 1 species
GAUGAACGCUGGCGGCGUGCCUAAUACAUGCAAGUCGAGCGAACGGACGAGAAGCUUGCUUCUCUGAUGUUAGCGGCGGACGGGUGAGUAACACGUGGAUAACCUACCUAUAAGACUGGGAUAACUUCGGGAAACCGGAGCUAAUACCGGAUGAUAUUUUGAACCGCAUGGUUCAAAAGUGAAAGACGGUCUUGCUGUCACUUAUCGAUGGAUCCGCGCUGCAUUAGCUAGUUGGUAAGGUAACGGCUUACCAAGGCAACGAUGCAUAGCCGACCUGAGAGGGUGAUCGGCCACACUGGAACUGAGACACGGUCCAGACUCCUACGGGAGGCAGCAGUAGGGAAUCUUCCGCAAUGGGCGAAAGCCUGACGGAGCAACGCCGCGUGAGUGAUGAAGGUCUUCGGAUCGUAAAACUCUGUUAUUAGGGAAGAACAUAUGUGUAAGUAACUGGGCACAUCUUGACGGUACCUAAUCAAAAAGCCACGGCUAACUACGUG